AUGAACGCUGGCGGCGUGCCUAAUACAUGCAAGUCGAGCGAACGGACGAGAAGCUUGCUUCUCUGAUGUUAGCGGCGGACGGGUGAGUAACACGUGGAUAACCUACCUAUAAGACUGGGAUAACUUCGGGAAACCGGAGCUAAUACCGGAUAAUAUUUUGAACCGCAUGGUUCAAAAGUGAAAGACGGUCUUGCUGUCACUUAUAGAUGGAUCCGCGCUGCAUUAGCUAGUUGGUAAGGUAACGGCUUACCAAGGCAACGAUGCAUAGCCGACCUGAGAGGGUGAUCGGCCACACUGGAACUGAGACACGGUCCAGACUCCUACGGGAGGCAGCAGUAGGGAAUCUUCCGCAAAGGGCGAAAGCCUGACGGAGCAACGCCGCGUGAGUGAUGAAGGUCUUCGGAUCGUAAAACUCUGUUAUUAGGGAAGAACAUAUGUGUAAGUAACUGUGCACAUCUUGACGGUACCUAACCAGAAAGCCACGGCUAACUACGUG
rnacentral:rRNA from 1 species